AUUGAACGCUGGCGGCAUGCCUUACACAUGCAAGUCGAACGGCAGCACGGGAGCUUGCUCCUGGUGGCGAGUGGCGAACGGGUGAGUAAUGCAUCGGAACGUGCCCUGAAGUGGGGGAUAACGUAGCGAAAGUUACGCUAAUACCGCAUAUUCUGUGAGCAGGAAAGCAGGGGAUCUUCGGACCUUGCGCUUUUGGAGCGGCCGAUGUCGGAUUAGCUAGUUGGUGGGGUAAAGGCCCACCAAGGCGACGAUCCGUAGCGGGUCUGAGAGGAUGAUCCGCCACACUGGAACUGAGACACGGUCCAGACUCCUACGGGAGGCAGCAGUGGGGAAUUUUGGACAAUGGGCGCAAGCCUGAUCCAGCCAUGCCGCGUGAGUGAAGAAGGCCU
rnacentral:rRNA from 1 species